rnacentral:rRNA from 1 species
GAGCGAGAAAAGGGGCUUCGGCCCCUCAGUACAGCGGCGAACGGGUGCGUAACACGUGGGUGAUCUGUCCUCGAGACGGGGAUAACCCAGCGAAAGUUGGGCUAAUACCGGAUAAGACCACAAGAGGAAACUCUCGGGGUCAAAGGGUGCUUCCUUUUGGGAGCAUUCGCUGGAGGAGGAGCCCGCGUCCUAUCAGCUUGUUGGUAGGGUAACGGCCUACCAAGGCAAAGACGGGUAGCUGGUCUGAGAGGAUGACCAGCCACACGGGGACUGAGAUACGGCCCCGACUCCUACGGGAGGCAGCAGUGGGGAAUAUUGGGCAAUGGGGGAAACCCUGACCCAGCGACGCCGCGUGGGUGAUGAAGGCCUUCGGGUCGUAAAGCCCUGUCGGGAGGGACGAAUGAUCCUGUGGCAAAUAGCCGCGGGAUGUGACGGUACCUCCGAAGGAAGCACCGGCCAACUCCGUGCCAGCAGCCGCGGUAAGACGGAGGGUGCAAGCGUUGCUCGGAAUCACUGGGCGUAAAGGGUGCGUAGGCGGUCUCUCAAGUCUGGCGUGAAAGCCCAGGGCUCAGCCCCGGAAGUGCGCCAGAAACUGAAAGGCUUGAGUGCCGGAGGGGAGAGUGGAAUUUCCGGGUGUAGCGGUGAAAUGCGUAGAUAUCGGGAGGAACACCAGUGGCGAAGGCGGCCGACUAGUCUGGUACUGACGCUGAGGGACGAAAGCGUGGGGAGCGAACCGGAUUAGAUACCCGGGUAGUCCACGCCCUAAACGAUGGAUGCUAGGUGUGGGGGUGUAAACCUCCGUGCCGCAGCUAACGCAUUAAGCAUCCCGCCUGGGGAGUAUGAUCGCAAGGCUGAAACUCAAAGGAAUUGGCGGGGGCCCGCACAAGCGGUGGAGCAUGUGGUUUAAUUCGAUGCAAAGCGAAGAACCUUACCAGGGUUUGACAUGCUGGCUUAAGCCUAUGUGAAAGCAUGGGGUGAUGUGGGGCUUGUCUCCACAUGGCCAGCACAGGUGCUGCAUGGCUGUCGUCAGCUCGUGCCGUGAGGUGUCCGGUUAAGUCCGGUAACGAGCGCAACCCCUAUCACUAGUUGCCAGCAUUAAGGUGGGCACUCUAGAGAGACUGCCGGCGACAAGCCGGAGGAAGGUGGGGACGACGUCAAGUCAUCAUGGCCUUUAUGUCCUGGGCUACACACAUGCUACAAUGGCGAGCACAACGGGUUGCAAACCCGCGAGGGGGAGCUAAUCCUAUCAAAGUUCGUCUCAGUUCGGAUUGCAGGCUGCAACUCGCCUGCAUGAAGCUGGAAUCGCUAGUAAUCGCGGAUCAGCUACGUCGCGGUGAAUACGUUCCCGGGCCUUGUACACACUGCCCGUCAC